ACGGGAGGCAGCAGUGGGGAAUCUUGCACAAUGGGGGCAACCCUGAUGCAGCGACGCCGCGUGAGCGAUGAAGCCCUUCGGGGUGUAAAGCUCUUUCGGCAGGGACGAUAAUGACGGUACCUGCAGAAGAAGCUGCGGCUAACUACGUGCCAGCAGCCGCGGUAAUACGUAGGCAGCGAGCGUUGUUCGGAGUUACUGGGCGUAAAGCGUGCGUAGGCGGUGGUCCAAGUCUGGUGUGAAAUCUCCCGGCUCAACUGGGAGGGUGCGCCGGAAACUGGGCCGCUGGAGUAUGGGAGAGGCAAGCGGAAUUCCAGGUGUAGCGGUGAAAUGCGUAGAUAUCUGGAGGAACACCCGUGGUGCAGACGGCUUGCUGGACCAUCACUGACGCUGAGGCACGAAAGCGUGGGUAGCAAACAGGAUUAGAUACCCUGGUA
rnacentral:rRNA from 1 species